CUGCUGUGGCAAGAAGGGUGUGUAAAGAAAACUGAAGAAAUGACGAAAUGAUUGAAUCACAGAAAAACUUUGACCUGCUGCCAGGAUGGGAUUACAGCAUUGGUGUGCAUAGGCACUCCUUCAAAGCUUCUUGUUCCAUUUGAUGUCAUUUCCCUGGGCGGCGGAAGGCCUCCUGCUGGGCCUGCAGACCCUCUCUCCACACUGGAAUCAGGGGAAGGGAAGCUGCCUGCGCCUGCAGUGCUGCAUCCUGGUGCAGUUCCUGAUCCACCCAACAAUCAAAGGCAGCACAGACAUCUCUCUUCAGCCCGUCCUCCUCUUCCUCCCGGUGGUUCUUUGAUAACUGAGCUGUCUCCUCACGGGAUGAGGUCAAAGGUCGUGGUACGAAGCCCACUCAGACAUUUGAGGAGCCUAAUUUCUCCCUGACGCCUCCAACAUGUCAGACCAAACCGCAGAUCCAUUGAAUUUAAAAAGAUUAAAUGAAGGGUGUGUUUUUCAAAUCACACACAACUCUGCAGACAGUAGCGAUAAAUGGCAGUGAUUCAGAACUUAAUCAUACCUUUUGUAAACCUAUUUAUCCCUUAUUUCCAAAAAUGAUUCAUAAAAAAAUACGUUGAGACCAUACCCUCUGUAUUGCAGACUCCUUUGAAAUAAAAACAUCAAACAUGA